rnacentral:rRNA from 1 species
AGCAGCCGCGGUAAUUCCAGCUCCAAUAGCGUAUAUUAAAGUUGUUGCAGUUAAAAAGCUCGUAGUUGAAUUUCGGGAUCAUCAGGUUGGUCGUGCCUCUGGUAUGUACUUUCCUCGAUGGUUCCUCCUUCUUGAAGAACCGUAAUGCCAUUAAUUUGGUGUUGCGGGGAAACAGGACUGUUACUUUGAAAAAAUUAGAGUGUUUAAAGCAGGCAAUCGCUUGAAUACAUUAGCAUGGAAUAAUGAAAUAGGACGUUCGAUCCUAUUUUGUUGGUUUCUAGGAUUGACGUAAUGAUUAAUAGGGAUAGUUGGGGGCAUUAGUAUUCAAUUGUCAGAGGUGAAAUUCUUGGAUUUAUUGAAGACUAACUACCGCGAAAGCAUUUGCCAAGGAUGUUUUCAUUAAUCAAGAACGAAAGUUAGGGGAUCGAAGACGAUCAGAUACCGUCGUAGCCUUAACCAUAAACUAUGCCGACUAGGGAUCGGAUGAUGUUAAUUUUUUAAUGACUCA